rnacentral:rRNA from 1 species
GACGAACGCUGGCGGCGUGCCUAAUACAUGCAAGUUGAGCGAUGAAGCUUGGUGCUUGCCCCAAUUUGAAGAGCAGCGAACGGGUGAGUAACGCGUGGGGAAUCUGCCUUUGAGCGGGGGACAACAUUUGGAAACGAAUGCUAAUACCGCAUAAUAACUUUAAACAUAAGUUUUAAGUUUGAAAGAUGCAAUUGCAUCACUCAAAGAUGAUCCCGCGUUGUAUUGGCUAGUUGGUGAGGUAAAGGCUCACCAAGGCGAUGAUACAUAGCCGACCUGAGAGGGUGAUCGGCCACAUUGGGACUGAGACACGGCCCAAACUCCUACGGGAGGCAGCAGUAGGGAAUCUUCGGCAAUGGACGAAAGUCUGACCGAGCAACGCCGCGUGAGUGAAGAAGGGUUUCGGAUCGUAAAACUCUGUUGGUAGAGAAGAACAUUGGUGAGAGUGGAAAGCUCAUCAAGUGACGGUAACUACCCAGAAAGGGACGGCUAACUACGUG